AUUGAACGCUGGCGGCAGGCCUAACACAUGCAAGUCGAGCGGUAGAGAGGUGCUUGCAUCUCUUGAGAGCGGCGGACGGGUGAGUAAUGCCUAGGAAUCUGCCUAGUGGUGGGGGGAUAACGUUCGGAAACGGACGCUAAUACCGCAUACGUCCUACGGGAGAAAGCGGGGGAUCUUCGGACCUCGCGCCAUUAGAUGAGCCUAGGUCGGAUUAGCUAGUUGGUGAGGUAAUGGCUCACCAAGGCGACGAUCCGUAACUGGUCUGAGAGGAUGAUCAGUCACACUGGAACUGAGACACGGUCCAGACUCUACGGGAGGCAGCAGUGGG
rnacentral:rRNA from 1 species